rnacentral:rRNA from 1 species
AACGAACGCUGGCGGCGUGGAUAAGACAUGCAAGUCGAGCGAAUUAUUUCGGGUAGCAAUAUUCGGAAUGGUUAGCGGCGCAAGGGUGCGUAACACGUGGGUAAUUUGCCACAAAGCUCAGGAUAACUUGCUGAAAAGUGAGCUAAUACUGAAUGUGAUGUUUUGAAAGCAUUUUUUUUAACAUCAAAGCUGGGGAUCGUAAGACCUAGCACUUUGUGAUAAGCCCGCGGCCUAUCAGCUAGUUGGUGAGGUAACGGCUCACCAAGGCUAAGACGGGUAGCUGGUCUGAGAGGACGACCAGCCACACUGGAACUGAGACACGGUCCAGACACCUACGGGUGGCAGCAGUCGAGAAUUUUUCACAAUGGGCGAAAGCCUGAUGGAGCGACGCCGCGUGGGGAUGAAUGGCUUCGGCCCGUAAACCCCUGUCAUUUGCGAACAAACCUUAUACUCUAACAAAGUGUGAGCUGAUUGUAGCGAAAGAGGAAGAGACGGCUAAC